ensembl:snRNA U6 U6 spliceosomal RNA
GUCUUACUUUGGUAGCACAUAUACUAAAAUUGGAACGAUACAGAGAAGGUUAGCAUGGCCCCUGCACGAAGAUCAGUUCUGAACUGGUGAAGCCUUUUGGAUAAAA